rnacentral:rRNA from 1 species
AUACGGAGGAUGCGAGCGUUAUCCGGAUUUAUUGGGUUUAAAGGGAGCGUAGGUGGGAUAUUAAGUCAGCUGUGAAAGUUUGGGGCUCAACCUUAAAAUUGCAGUUGAUACUGGUUUCCUUGAGUACGGUACAGGUGGGCGGAAUUCGUGGUGUAGCGGUGAAAUGCUUAGAUAUCACGAAGAACUCCGAUCGCGUAGGCAGCUCACCGGGCCGGAACUGACACUGAUGCUCGAAAGUGCGGGUAUCAAACAGGAUUAGAUACCCUGGUAGUCCGCACAGUAAACGAUGAAUACUCGCUGUUUGCGAUACACUGUAAGCGGCCAAGCGAAAGCGUUAAGUAUUCCACCUGGGGAGUACGCCGGCAACGGUGAAACUCAAAUGAAUUGACGGGG